AAAAAGAAAACUACAUUCGGAAAGGGAAGAUACCCAAGAAGAAAAUCGAGACGGAUCAGCAGAUCUGUUUUCACUACCUCAAGGUACACAGCCCCAAACACUGCCCAUCCCCAGCUCCCCAUGCACAUCUUUCCUGUUGGAGAAACCAGGAGAGAGAUGAGCAUUUCUGUUCCAGUUCCGAACUCCCCAGAGAGAUUCUGAUGGGCCCAGCUUAGGUCAGGGGAUAGUCUUCACUCAAGAGUUCCUGAGAUAACAGAGACUGGAGUAGCAGGCAUUGCAGAACUGAUUUUAUAAAGGAAGAACGUGUACCAUAAAUAUUGCUAGUUAAGAGCAUGUAUACUGUUGAGUUCUACCUCCUCAGAAGUCUAAAAGGUUUCCUUCCUUUGAGGGUGAAGAAGCAGUAACAGGCGUCCUCCAUCAGACCCCUCUCUGUGGGCACCUAGAACACUUCCCAUUGACGUCUGCUUCAAGGGGAGGUCACUAAAAGUGCCCCACAUGAUGCAGCAGACAUUUCGCUGGUCCCAGUGCCCUCCCCAAGACCUUCCAGAUGGUGAAGUGUUAAGAGUCUAAAAUG
ensembl:lncRNA novel transcript